rnacentral:rRNA from 1 species
GACGAACGCUGGCGGCGUGCUUAACACAUGCAAGUCGAACGGUAAGGCCCCAGCUUGCUGGGGUACACGAGUGGCGAACGGGUGAGUAACACGUGGGUGACCUGCCCCGCACUUCGGGAUAAGCCUGGGGAACUGGGUCUAAUACCGGAUAGGACCGCACCGUGAGGGUGUGGUGGAAAGUUUUUCGGUGUGGGAUGGGCCCGCGGCCUAUCAGCUUGUUGGUGGGGUAAUGGCCUACCAAGGCGGCGACGGGUAGCCGGCCUGAGAGGGUGGACGGCCACAUUGGGACUGAGACACGGCCCAGACUCCUACGGGAGGCAGCAGUGGGGAAUAUUGCACAAUGGGCGGAAGCCUGAUGCAGCGACGCCGCGUGGGGGAUGACGGCCUUCGGGUUGUAAACUCCUUUCACCAUCGACGAAGGUUUUCUGACGGUAGAUGGAGAAGAAGCACCGGCUAACUACGUG